UACAGAGGGUGCAAGCGUUGUUCGGAAUUAUUGGGCGUAAAGCGCGUGUAGGCGGCUUGGCAAGUCGGGUGUGAAAGCCCUCAGCUCAACUGAGGAAGUGCGCCCGAAACUGCUUUGCUUGAGUGCUGGAGAGGGUCGCGGAAUUCCCCAAGUAGAGGUGAAAUUCGUAGAUAUGGGGAGGAACACCGGUGGCGAAGGCGGCGACCUGGACAGUAACUGACGCUGAGACGCGAAAGCGUGGGGAGCAAACAGG
rnacentral:rRNA from 1 species